UAGGGAAUCUUCGGCAAUGGGGGCAACCCUGACCGAGCAACGCCGCGUGAGUGAAGAAGGUUUUCGGAUCGUAAAGCUCUGUUGUAAGUCAAGAACGAGUGUGAGAGUGGAAAGUUCACACUGUGACGGUAGCUUACCAGAAAGGGACGGCUAACUACGUGCCAGCAGCCGCGGUAAUACGUAGGUCCCGAGCGUUGUCCGGAUUUAUUGGGCGUAAAGCGAGCGCAGGCGGUUUGAUAAGUCUGAAGUUAAAGGCUGUGGCUCAACCAUAGUUCGCUUUGGAAACUGUCAAACUUGAGUGCAGAAGGGGAGAGUGGAAUUCCAUGUGUAGCGGUGAAAUGCGUAGAUAUAUGGGGGAACACCGGUGGCGAAAGCGGCUCUCUGGUCUGUAACUGACGCUGAGGCUCGAAAGCGUGGGGAGCGAACAGGAUUAGAUACCCUGGUAGUCCACGCCGUAAACGAUGAGUGCUAGGUGUUGGGUCCUUUCCGGGAUUCAGUGCCGCAGCUAACGCAUUAAGCACUCCGCCUGGGGAGUACGACCGCAAGGUUG
rnacentral:rRNA from 1 species